GAUGAACGCUAGCGGCGGGCCUAAUACAUGCAAGUUGAACGGGAUUGUUGGUAGCAAUAUUGACAUGAGAGUGGCGCACGGGUGCGUAACACGUAUGUAACCUACCUUUAACUGGGGCAUAGCUUCGAGAAGUCGAAAUUAAUACCCCAUAACAUUUAGAAAAGGCAUCUUUUCUUUAUCAAAGCUCAGGCGGUUAAGGAUGGACAUGCGGUGCAUUAGCUUGUUGGUGAGGUAACGGCUCACCAAGGCUACGAUGCAUAGGGGGUCUGAGAGGAUGAUCCCCCACACUGGUACUGAGACACGGACCAGACUCCUACGGGAGGCAGCAGUAGGGAAUAUUGGGCAAUGGACGAAAGUCUGACCCAGCCACGCCGCGUGAAGGAUGAAUGCCCUCUGGGUUGUAAACUUCUUUUGUAUGGGAAGAAAUUCCGAACGUGUUCGGAGCUGACGGUACCAUAAGAAUAAGCAUCGGCUAACUCCGUGCCAGCAGCCG
rnacentral:rRNA from 1 species